GCCCAGGGAGGGAUCGAGAUGGUUUUAAGGAGUUGCUGCUUGCAGCGGGGGAAUGCUACGUACGCCUCUGGGCCACGUGGAUAAGUAGCCAAGAGGAAGAGGAGGAUGCUGCUGGCAGCGGAUUCAAUAAUGCUACUAGCCGGCUGGCCCUGGCAGGGGCUCCACGUGUUGGGGGUGAGGCACGCAUCUUGUGAAAGAAAAUGAGCAUACUGCAGGAGUUUGGAGAGAUGAAAGUAGACCGCCAAGGAAUAUGGUGUUUGACUGGCUGCUGAAGCAGACAGAUUCCCAUAGUCAUGGCAGGAAUACUGAGAAAAGUUUGGGUCUCUCUAUGGUCUGACCUCUUCCUGUGGAUCACAUCCUGUAAUUUAUAGCCCACAUAGAGGCUCAAGGGCUGGACUGUUUCAACAGCAGCAUCUUAUUUGCCAGCAGCGUCCUCUGUUUCCCAGGCAGCUAGGUAUGGGGAAUCUUGCAAAGAGGUUAUCUGAAGAAUGGGCUACAUCAGAUCCUCUCUCAAAAGAUUCAUUGCCUUCUCAUUAUAAAACAGCAUGAGAACUUGGGAGCAUGUCAGGAAGGCUACAGCAUCAGGAGUGGAGAGCCUCUUGUUCCACACAGUAUUUACAGCAACUAUCUGACAUCUUCAGGGUUUGAAACUUGGCAAUGGGACCCGUUGGAUGGCUUGCCUGGAACCUCGUUGCCCAACAACCAUUAGUUGGGGAUCUGCCCCUUCUUUCAUCACCAUCCCCAAAAAAAUGCUUCCACAAAAUAGACCGAAGAUUCAAAGUUCAAUGGGGCAGCUCUACUGACAAAGGAAGAAGCUAUGCCUGGAGGUUUAUCUGCUUAUAUAACUGUAGGAUGACCAGAUAGCAAGUGUGAAAAAUUGGGAUGGGGGUAUGGGGUAAUAGGAGUCCAUAUUUAAAAAAAAAAAAAAUCCCAAAUAUUGGGGAUGUCCCUAUAAAAUGGAGACAUCUGGCCACCCUGUAGAACUGGCAGGGGGAGGGCUUGUUUGUCCUGCAUGAGGAUGGAUGUCUGCUGACCUUUGCAUCUUAUGGCACUAUUCCAGAAGCCUUUUGGCUCUUCUUGGCUGCUUCCAGGUGAGCUUUAGCCCAAUGCAUUUUAGACUGAGGUCACAAUGUCUGCAGUGGCAGCUGGUUUGCUGUAGGAUGGUCUAUGUCCUGGCCUUUGGUAGCUGGGGAUCAAAUUGCUGUAGUGUGUCUGUGCAUCAAGAGGGACUGAGUAGAGGAGAGAUUUCUUUUGGUAGCUGUAGCUCUCUUCAUGCCCAGGAUCUGUGGAUGCAGUUACUGUAUUAUGGGUGCACAAACUAGUGGUGGAGCAGAACUACAUUUGCACACCAUUCAGGUGUGCAAGGGAUGAGAUAGGACCAGCUCCUACCCAUAAUAUAUUAUCUGAUGGAAGAAACUCCUUGGUGAUAGGUUACGGAGAUCAUCUGUUGGUUAAGCUUAAAAGACUGAGUGGCAGGAGAGAGAUCACUUGAUCAUUGCGUGUUAGGUUCACUCCCUCUGGGGCACCUGGCACUGGCCACUGUUGGCAGACAGGAUACUGCGCUAGAUGGACCUUUGGUCUGACCCGGUACGGCCGUUCUUAUAUGUACUCAAACAGAUGUAUUUGUGGCAAACCUGAUUUGGCCAAAACUUUUGCCAUGGUUCAUAGUGAGAGUGAUUACAGAAUUCAUAAAAGCAAACUGUAAAAUAAAAUUUAGAACUGCCAUUGGUGUGUCUUUUUGAAAUAUGACCUUGUGUAUGACUGUAUAGUUGUUCCACAUUGUCUGGGUACAGUAUUGCAGACUGAAGAGAACACGUUCCUUUUGCCUAUCUGUAGGCUGAUGAAGAACUUGUGGAGGUGAGGUGUGCCACCUAAGUGAUAGGCCAGUGGCAUUUAGUAGGUAACCAUUUGAGGGUGGAUGUAAUUCAAGUGCAGCUACUAUUGGUGUGGGAUGCAAGAGGUUAACAGGUUGGUCUCUCUUUGCCAUCAAAGUUCAAAUCUUUUGUCAGAUGCUGCUGUGAGGUGGAUUCUUCUCUCAAAGUGGAGCGGGGGGUCCUUCAAUCUUGAGUCAGGAAGAAAGAGUUGGGGAAGCAAACUAGUACUGGAUUUUUUUUUUUAAGUUUGUCAGCUGUGGGGAUUACUUGAAA